ACGAACGCUGGCGGCAGGCUUAACACAUGCAAGUCGAACGCCCCGCAAGGGGAGUGGCGCACGGGUGAGUAACGCGUGGGAACAUGCCUUUUAGUGGGGGAUAACAGCGGGAAACUGCUGCUAAUACCGCAUACGCCCUUCGGGGGAAAGAUUUAUCGCUAAAAGAUUGGCCCGCGUAAGAUUAGCUAGUUGGUGAGGUAAUGGCUCACCAAGGCUUCGAUCUUUAGCUGGUCUGAGAGGACGACCAGCCACACUGGAACUGAGACACGGUCCAGACUCCUACGGGAGGCAGCAGUGGGGAAUAUUGGACAAUGGGGGAAACCCUGAUCCAGCCAUGCCGCGUGAGUGAUGAAGGCCUUAGGGUUGUAAAGCUCUUUCGCUAGGGAAGAUAAUGACGGUACCUAGAGAAGAAGCCCCGGCUAACUUCGU
rnacentral:rRNA from 1 species